rnacentral:misc_RNA from 1 species
UCCCCGUUACCGGGGCAGUCUAUUUAGAGAAAUCCAACUAAAUAUAAGGGUUGCGCUCGUUGAAGGACUUAACCUAACAUCUCACGACACGAGCUGAAGACGGCCAUGCAUCACCUGUCACUUGGUUCAAUAAAGCACUCUCUCCUUUCGGAGAAAUUCCAAGGAUGUCAAACCCUGGUAAGGUUCUUCGCUUACCUUCGAAUUAAAGAACACGCUCCACCGCUUGUGCGGGUCCCCGUCAAUUCCUUUAUGUUUUAGUCUUGCGACCGUACUCCACAGGCGGGAUGCUUAACGCGUUAGCUUCGCUACUACCCGGGUCGAUACGGGUAACAGCUAGCAUCCAUCGUUUACAGCGUGGACUAC